rnacentral:rRNA from 1 species
CACUUCUAAGGAAGGCAGCAGGCGCGCAAAUUACCCAAUCCUGACUCAGGGAGGUAGUGACAAGAAAUAACAAUAAACCGGCUUAUGCCGGUUUAAUUGGAAUGAGUACAAUUUAAACAUCUUAACGAGGAACAAUUGGAGGGCAAGUCUGGUGCCAGCAGCCGCGGUAAUUCCAGCUCCAAUAGCGUAUACUAAAGUUGUUGCAGUUAAAAAGCUCGUAGUUGGAUUUCUGUGGGGACGGAGCGGCCGGCCGCAACUCGCGGUUCGAGCUAGCGCUUUCCCUACAUCCUGCCGCGAACCGUGCUACCAUUAGUUUGGUGGCGCCGGGGAUCGGCUCGAUUACUUUGAGAAAAAUAGAGUGUUCAAAGCAGGCCACAUGCCUUGAAUAAGUUAGCAUGGAAUAAUAACUAAGGACUUCGGUUCUAUUUUGUUGGUGUUCGGGACUGAAGUAAUGAUUGAUAGGGACAGUUGGGGCGGUCUGUAUUCCAAAGCGAGAGGUGAAAUUCUUAGACCUUCGGAAGACAAACAGCUGCGAAAGCGUUCCGCAAGGAUGUUCCCUUUGAUCAAGAACGAAAGUUGGGGGAUCGAAGACGAUCAGAUACCGUCGUAGUCUCAACUAUAAACUAUACCAGCUAGGGAUCGGCCAACGUUAUUUCAAACCGACUUGGUCGGCACCUUAUGAGAAAUCAAAGCAUCUGGGUUCCGGGGGGAGUAUGGUCGCAAGGCUGAAACUUAAAGGAAUUGACGGAAGGGCACCACCAGCCGUGGAGCCUGUGGCUUAAUUUGACUCAACACGGGAAAACUCACCAGGUCCAGACAUAGUAAGGAUUGACAGAUUGAUAGCUCUUUCUUGAUUCUGCGGGUGGUGGUGCAUGGCCGUUCUUAGUUGGUGGAGUGAUUUGUCUGGUUAAUUCCGUUAACGAACGAGACCCCAGCCUGCUAAAUAGCGCGCGUGAGCUUUGCUCGCGGCGAGCUUCUUAGAGGGACUAUGAUGCGCGAUAGCACAUGGAAGUUUGGGGCAAUAACAGGUCUGUGAUGCCCUUAGAUGUUCUGGGCCACACACGGGCUACACUGGCGCCUGCAACGAGCAUAUCAGCUGGCCCGAGAGGGUCUUGGCUAAUCUUUUGAACCGGCGCCGUGCUUGGGAUUGACCUUUGCAAUUGUUGGUCAUGCAACGAGGAAUGCCUUGUAAACGCGAGUCAUCAGCUCGCAUUGAAUACGUCCCUGCCCUUUGUACACACCGCCCGUCGCUCCUACCGAUGAAUGUUCCGAUGAAAUUUUCGGAGAGCACCUGUGAACUUGGCUCUGCCUUGCGAACGGGAGGCUCAAAGUCACUUAAAUCUGAACAUUUCGAGG